CUUUCUUUGCUGGCGACCGGCGCACGGGUGAGUAACACGUAUCCAACCUGCCCUUUACUCGGGGAUAGCCUUUCGAAAGAAAGAUUAAUACCCGAUAGUAUAAUGAUUCCGCAUGGUUUCAUUAUUAAAGGAUUCCGGUAAAGGAUGGGGAUGCGUUCCAUUAGGUUGUUGGUGAGGUAACGGCUCACCAAGCCUCGAUGGAUAGGGGUUCUGAGAGGAAGGUCCCCCACAUUGGAACUGAGACACGGUCCAA
rnacentral:rRNA from 1 species